UUCUCUCUUCUUUAUUCCCUCCUCCUCUGUACCCCCUGCACUUUACUCUCAGUUUCUUUCAUUUCUUUCUUCCUCUCCUUCCUCUUCUUCAUCCUCUUCUUCAACCUUCAAAUCCUGAGUUUCUUCGGUCAUCAUUUCGACUGUAGAUCGGCAUUUUAUGGAUAAAAGAGAAACUGGAAACGAGGCUCCUGAGGAAGUGACACGGGAGUCACUUAUUGCAAUUUCUUACUCUUUACCAGAUAAGAUUACUGCUUCAGACAAGAUUACUGCCUCAAAACUCUCCUCGGGAAAUAUAAUUGGUGAGAAAGUAGUUGAAGACACAGAUUAUGAUGGUGAGGAGAAGUAUAGGUCUGAGCUGAUCUCCAUAUCCUAUCAGAAAUCAUCUGAACCUCAAGGCUCACCAGUGGAAGAAUUCAAGGGUUAACUGGUUAGUCAAUUAAUAAGCUCUGUUUAAAUUUCAUGGGUAAAUGUAAUAUAUUCUUAUGAUAUUAUGUUCUGAGACUGAAAUCAGUGUGAGCACAUUGCCCUAUAUGUGCUAUCUUGGAACUGAAAAAUGGAACGCAAAGAACUCUGUACGCAUGUAUUUCUUCUGCAUUACUUUAAAGCUGGAUGCUAUACUUAACACGACUUGCGGGAUAGCUCUUUUCUUGUGA